UUCAACUGUGGUACGUGCGGGA
rnacentral:siRNA from 1 species